rfam:Loxodonta africana unplaced genomic scaffold scaffold_12, whole genome shotgun sequence.
GCAUUGGUGGUUCAGUGGUAGAGUUCUUACCUUCCUUGCAGGAGACCUGGGUUCGAGUCCCAGCCGGUGCA